rnacentral:rRNA from 1 species
ACGGGUGAGUAAUACAUCGGAACGUGCCCAAUCGAGGGGGAUAACGCAGCGAAAGCUGUGCUAAUACCGCAUACGAUCUACGGAUGAAAGCAGGGGAUCGCAAGACCUUGCGCGAAUGGAGCGGCCGAUGGCAGAUUAGGUAGUUGGUGAGGUAAAGGCUCACCAAGCCUUCGAUCUGUAGCUGGUCUGAGAGGACGACCAGCCACACUGGGACUGAGACACGGCCCAGACUCCUACGGGAGGCAGCAGUGGGGAAUUUUGGACAAUGGGCGAAAGCCUGAUCCAGCCAUGCCGCGUGCAGGAUGAAGGCCUUCGGGUUGUAAACUGCUUUUGUACGGAACGAAACGGUCUUUUCUAAUAAAGAAGGCUAAUGACGGUACCGUAAGAAUAAGCACCGGCUAACUACGUGCCAGCAGCCGCGGUAAUACGUAGGGUGCAAGCGUUAAUCGGAAUUACUGGGCGUAAAGCGUGCGCAGGCGGUGAUGUAAGACAGCUGUGAAAUCCCCGGGCUCAACCUGGGAACUGCAUCUGUGACUGCAUCGCUGGAGUACGGCAGAGGGGGAUGGAAUUCCGCGUGUAGCAGU